UCUAAAUUAAUCAAGUUAAAAUCUUGGAGAACGGCAACAAAAAAAGGAAAAAAGAAAAAGAAGUGCUCUGCAGUCUUCACUGGCCGACACAGUGUGUAUUGAGAUAAGAAGUAACGUAUUCGAUCUCAUUCGAAGAAUCUGUUUCGUCCUCUCUGUCAGAUCUGAAACCUUAAGGUUUGAAAAGGGAGGCUCUUAUUUCCAAUUUUUGGAGCUUUCAAUUGGAAGAUCUAAAUGCAAACUGUGAGCAAAUUGCAGGAGGAUUAAGAGACACCAAUGAAAGGAUGUUUUGAUGGCUAUUAUCUAAAUUUUAAGCCUUGAUAUCAACUUGACAACAAUGUUCAGAACGAAGCCAGCAUAAUUGGAGCCUACGGGAUGGGUGGUGUAGGAAAGAUGUUAUGUGUGGUUUGUAAUUUUACAAGUCUACAAGUUAGAGAGUCAAAGUGAUGGUUAAAACUAAUAA